UUAUCUUCACAAACCACCUCCACAAAAUCUCGUAACCACACACACCAUGAACCACCACAAAAUUGCCCCCACCUUGAAACCAUCGUGAAUCCCUUAUUAUUUGUUACCUUUACUCCCUUUUCAACCUCCAUCAUAACUGCAAACAGACCCAAAACUCAAACAUAAACAAAUUAGAUCCAAAUUUGAAACCCACAAAAUAAAAAACACAACUUUGUCGCCAAUUAGGUUAUGUUUCAAAAAAGAAAAGGUAGAGACUGUUGGGAGGAGGAAGAAUGAUUUUCAGUGUCACACGGUAGCCGGCAAAAAACCUGCAUCGCAAGAAAUAAGAUCCAGAUCUGACUAAAACUUAAAUUGGAUAGAACAAUUAGUGAUAGCGGCUUAUGGUCGUUCAAUUCAGCAAGGGAAGGUUGUCAUGUACCCACCAAGCUAGACAGUCGUGCACUAGUUUCCAUAUUGAUGUAUGAAAAAUGGAAACCACCAUCGAUGUUGUGCCCACACCCACCAUGAACUACCAUUGAAAAUGAAGAUAGAGAAAUCAUCUUCAUAUUUGGAUCUAGUUUCAUUUUGUG
rnacentral:lncRNA from 1 species